rnacentral:rRNA from 1 species
UACGUAGGGGGCUAGCGUUGUCCGGAAUCAUUGGGCGUAAAGAGCUCGUAGGCGGUUUGUCGCGUCUGCCGUGAAAGUCCGGGGCUCAACUCCGGAUCUGCGGUGGGUACGGGCAGACUAGAGUGAUGUAGGGGGAGACUGGAAUUCCUGGUGUAGCGGUGAAAUGCGCAGAUAUCAGGAGGAACACCGAUGGCGAAGGCAGGUCUCUGGGCAUUAACUGACGCUGAGGAGCGAAAGCGUGGGGAGCGAACAGG